AGAACAGAGACACAGAUCCAGCCAGAAGAAUGUUACACAAAAGGACACAAAGAACACGACAUAGGGCUGCUGCAGUGGGAAUCAGUGAGAAUCUGGUCGUGUUUUGCUAGAGGUUCCAUUGAAGAAACAACUGCAGGACAGCAAUAAGACAAGCUGGACCAGCUAGGACUAAAAGCCAAGCCACACCUCUGCAGCCACCUGCCAGAGCCCAGAGGACCUGAAGGUGUGCCAGAGUGCAUGAAGACCUGAUGCGCCAGCACCUCAGCGUCCUGCACGACAUCCACAAGACCCUGGCGCACAAGGUCCAUGCUGACUUGGAGUGGCAGAACCAAUUGAUGCAGCGGUAUGAUACCAUGUGUGCCGUCAUGAUGCCACCACUGAUGCCGCUGCUCCUGGCUUCCAGCCUCCUGCCCUCCCUGCUAUGCCCAUUCCCCAUUCACCUGCCCCCCUGCCAUGCUUCUGCUCCCUUCCCAAGUGAUGCCUAUAUCUCCUCCCCCUGUGCCCCAACCAACCCUGACCCUGUUCCAUCUCCGCCUCCUCUACAACCCCCUGUGCUCCCCACACCCACCCAACCCCCAUGAGGUCCCCACAUUUGAAGUGGCACGUUGAGCUACCCCGCUCCCAGUUCUGAGCUCCCCUCACAGUUCUGAGCCCCUGUCCCAGUUCUGAGCUCCC